rnacentral:rRNA from 1 species
UAGGGAAUAUUAGUAAUGGGCGAAAGCCUGAACUAGCAACGCCGCGUGUGCGAAGAAGGCCUUCGGGUUGUAAAGCACUUUUUGAGAGGAUGAGGAAGGACGGUACCCUCAGAAUAAGUCUCGGCUAACUACGUGCCAGCAGCCGCGGUAACACGUAGGAGGCGAACGUUAUCCGGAUUUACUGGGCGUAAAGCGCGUGUAGGUGGUUUGGUAAGUAGGGCGUGAAAGCUCCUGGCUCAACUAGGAGAGGCCGUUCUAAACUGCCGAACUAGAGGAUGGUAGAGGGAGGUGGAAUUCCGGGUGUAGCGGUGGAAUGCGCAGAUAUCCGGAGGAACACCAGUGGCGAAAGCGGCCUCCUGGACCAUUCCUGACGCUCAGACGCGAAAGCUAGGGUAGCAAACGG